rnacentral:rRNA from 1 species
GAUGAACGCUAGCUACAGGCUUAACACAUGCAAGUCGAGGGGCAUCGGGAAGAAAGCUUGCUUUCUUUGCCGGCGACCGGCGCACGGGUGAGUAACACGUAUCCAACCUGCCGUCUACUCUUGGACAGCCUUCUGAAAGGAAGAUUAAUACAAGAUGGCAUCAUGAGUCCGCAUGUUCACAUGAUUAAAGGUAUUCCGGUAGACGAUGGGGAUGCGUUCCAUUAGAUAGUAGGCGGGGUAACGGCCCACCUAGUCUUCGAUGGAUAGGGGUUCUGAGAGGAAGGUCCCCCACAUUGGAACUGAGACACGGUCCAAACUCCUACGGGAGGCAGCAGUGAGGAAUAUUGGUCAAUGGGCGAGAGCCUGAACCAGCCAAGUAGCGUGAAGGAUGACUGCCCUAUGGGUUGUAAACUUCUUUUAUAAAGGAAUAAAGUCGGGUAU